rnacentral:rRNA from 1 species
CCUACGGGCGGCUGCAGUGGGGAAUAUUGCACAAUGGGGGAAACCCUGAUGCAGCAACGCCGCGUGGGUGAAGGCGCGUUUAGGCGUGUAAAGCCCUGUCAGCGGGGAAGAAGAAAGACGGUACCCGACCAAGAAGCCCCGGCUAACUACGUGCCAGCAGCCGCGGUAAUACGUAGGGGGCGAGCGUUAUCCGGAAUUACUGGGUGUAAAGGGAGCGUAGACGGCGAGGUAAGCCUGAGGUGGAAGGCCGCGGCCUAACCGGGGAACUGCUUUGGAAACUGUUGUGCUGGAGUGUGGGAGGGGUAGGCGGAAUUCCUGGUGUAGCGGUGAAAUGCGUAGAGAUCAGGCGGAACACCGGUGGCGAAGGCGGCUUACUGGACCAUAACUGACGUUGAGGCUCGAAAGCGUGGGGAGCGAACAGGAUUAGAUACCCUGGUAGUC